rnacentral:rRNA from 1 species
GGUUGACCUCGGAUCAGGUAGGGAUACCCGCUGAACUUAAGCAUAUCAAUAAGCGGAGGAAAAGAAACCAACCGGGAUUGCCCCAGUAACGGCGAGUGAAGCGGCAAGAGCUCAAAUUUGAAAUCUGGCCCCCCCGGGGUCCGAGUUGUAAUUUGCAGAGGAUGCUUCGGGUGCGGCCCCCGUCUAAGUGCCCUGGAACGGGCCGUCAGAGAGGGUGAGAAUCCCGUCCUGGGCGGGGAGUCCGCGCCCGUGUGAAGCUCCUUCGACGAGUCGAGUUGUUUGGGAAUGCAGCUCUAAAUGGGUGGUAAAUUUCAUCUAAAGCUAAAUACCGGCCGGAGACCGAUAGCGCACAAGUAGAGUGAUCGAAAGAUGAAAAGCACUUUGAAAAGAGAGUUAAACAGCACGUGAAAUUGUUGAAAGGGAAGCGCUUGCGACCAGACUCGCCCCCGGGGUUCAGCCGGCACUCGUGCCGGUGCACUCCCCGUCGGGCGGGCCAGCGUCGGUUUGGGCGGCCGGUCAAAGGCCUCCGGAAUGUGUCGCCCUCCGGGGCGUCUUAUAGCCGGGGGUGCAAUGCGGCCAGCCCGGACCGAGGAACGCGCUUCGGCACGGACGCUGGCGUAAUGGUCGUAAACGACC